rnacentral:rRNA from 1 species
UACGUAGGGUGCACGCUGUUCGUCGAAUUAUUGGGCGUAAAGAGCUCGUAGGCGGUUUGUCGCGUCUGCCGUGAAAGUCCGGGGCUCAACUCCGGAUCUGCGGUGGGUACGGGCAGACUAGAGUGAUGUAGGGGAGACUGGAAUUCCUGGUGUAGCGGUGAAAUGCGCAGAUAUCAGGAGGAACACCGAUGGCGAAGGCAGGUCUCUGGGCAUUAACUGACGCUGAGGAGCGAAAGCAUGGGGAGCGAACAGG